GAUGAAGAACGCAGCGAAAUGCGAUAAGUAAUGUGAAUUGCAGAAUUCAGUGAAUCAUCGAAUCUUUGAACGCACAUUGCGCCCGCCUGUAUUCUGGCGGGCAUGCCUGUUCGAGCGUCAUUACAACCCUCAGGCCCCCGGGCCUGGCGUUGGGGAUCGGCGAGGCGCCCCCCGCGGGCACGCGCCGUCCCCCAAAUACAGUGGCGGUCCCGCCGCAGCUUCCAUUGCGUAGUAGCUAACACCUCGCAACUGGAGAGCGGCGCGGCCAUGCCGUAAAACACCCAACUUCUGAAUGUUGACCUCGAAUCAGGUAGGAAUACCCGCUGAACUUAAGCAUAUCAAUAAGCGGAGGA
rnacentral:misc_RNA from 1 species